GAUGAGAGUGGUGAAAUGGGUUCAUUGAAUAGUUGGGCUUCAGAUAUUGGUAGAGUUGUGGUGGUUAGAUUGAAUUUUUGAAGGGGAGGUGAUGGUGGGUUAGAUGUGGGAGUUUCAGAGGGCUUUAUGGUGGAGGUUGUGGGUUUAGAGUGUGUGUAAAUUUGGGAAGGCUAAGGUAGGGAAGAAUAUAAUUUCCUUAAACAAACAGUAGGAGAGUCAGAGGGUUGAGACUUACUUGGA
rnacentral:lncRNA from 1 species